GUACGGCGGAACACGAGAAAUUCCGUCGGAAUCCGCGGGGACCAUCCCGCAAGGCUAAAUACUCCCUAGUGACCGAUAGUGAACCAGUACCGUGAGGGAAAGGUGAAAAGCACCCCGGAAGGGGAGUGAAAUAGAUCCUGAAACCGUGUGCCUACAACAAGUCAAAGCUCGUUAAUGAGUGAUGGCGUGCCUUUUGUAGAAUGAACCGGCGAGUUACGAUUGCAUGCGAGGUUAAGUCGAAGAGACGGAGCCGCAGCGAAAGCGAGUCUGAAUAGGGCGAAUGAGUAUGUAGUCGUAGACCCGAAACCAUGUGAUCUACCCAUGUCCAGGUUGAAGGUGCGGUAAAACGCACUGGAGGACCGAACCCACGUACGUUGAAAAGUGCGGGGAUGAGGUGUGGGUAGCGGAGAAAUUCCAAACGAACUUGGAGAUAGCUGGUUCUCUCCGAAAUAGCUUUAGGGCUAGCCUCGGAAUUGAGAAUGAUGGAGGUAGAGCACUGUUUGGACUAGGGGCCCAUCUCGGGUUACCGAAUUCAGAUAAACUCCGAAUGCCAUUCAUUUAUAUCCGGGAGUCAGACUGCGAGUGAUAAGAUCCGUAGUCGAAAGGGAAACAGCCCAGACCACCAGCUAAGGUCCCAAAAUAUAUGUUAAGUGGAAAAGGAUGUGGGGUUGCACAGACAACUAGGAUGUUGGCUUAGAAGCAGCCACCAUUUAAAGAGUGCGUAAUAGCUCACUAGUCGAGUGACCCUGCGCCGAAAAUGUACCGGGGCUAAACAUAUUACCGAAGCUGUGGACUACACCAUUAGGUGUAGUGGUAGGAGAGCGUUCUAAGGGCGUUGAAGGUCGAUCGUGAGGACGGCUGGAGCGCUUAGAAGUGAGAAUGCCGGUAUGAGUAGCGAAAGACAGGUGAGAAUCCUGUCCACCGUAUGACUAAGGUUUCCUGGGGAAGGCUCGUCCGCCCAGGGUUAGUCGGGACCUAAGCCGAGGCCGAUAGGCGUAGGCGAUGGACAACAGGUUGAUAUUCCUGUACCAGUUGUUUUUGUUUGAGCAAUGGAGGGACGCAGUAGGCUAAGGAAUGCAUGCGAUUGGAAGUGCAUGUCCAAGCAAUGAGUCUUGAGUAGAGUUAAAUGCUUUACUCUUUAAGGACAAGUUGUGACGGGGAGCGAAAUAAUAGUAGCGAAGUUCCUGAUGUCACACUGCCAAGAAAAGCUUCUAGUGAGAAAACAACUGCCCGUACCGUAAACCGACACAGGUAGUCGAGGAGAGUAUCCUAAGGUGAGCGAGCGAACUCUCGUUAAGGAACUCGGCAAAAUGACCCCGUAACUUCGGGAGAAGGGGUGCUGACUUCGGUCAGCCGCAGUGAAUAGGCCCAAGCGACUGUUUAUCAAAAACACAGGUCUCUGCAAAAUCGUAAGAUGAAGUAUAGGGGCUGACGCCUGCCCGGUGCUGGAAGGUUAAGAGGAUGGGUUAGCUUCGGCGAAGCUCAGAAUUGAAGCCCCAGUAAACGGCGGCCGUAACUAUAACGGUCCUAAGGUAGCGAAAUUCCUUGUCGGGUAAGUUCCGACCCGCACGAAAGGCGUAACGAUUUGGGCACUGUCUCAACGAGAGACUCGGUGAAAUUUUAGUACCUGUGAAGAUGCAGGUUACCCGCGACAGGACGGAAAGACCCCAUGGAGCUUUACUGUAGUUUGAUAUUGAGUGUUUGUACCACA
rnacentral:rRNA from 1 species